GUACACACCGCCCGUCGCUACUACCGAUUGAAUGAAUUAGUGAGCUCCGGGGAUUGAGCUGUUUCGGGCAACCGGGGCAGAUUAAGAACCGGAUCAAACUUGCUCAUUUAGAGGAAGUAAAAGUCGUGACAAGGUUUCCGUAGGUGAACCUGCAGAAGGAU
rnacentral:rRNA from 1 species